GACGAACGCUGGCGGCGUGCUUAACACAUGCAAGUCGAACGGAAAGGCCUUUUCGGAGGUACUCGAGUGGCGAACGGGUGAGUAACACGUAGGUGAUCUGCCCUGCACUCUGGGAUAAGCCUGGGAAACUGGGUCUAAUACCGGAUAGGACCGCACUUUAGAGUGUGUGGUGGAAAGUUUUUUCGGUGUAGGAUGAGCCCGCGGCCUAUCAGCUUGUUGGUGGGGUAAUGGCCUACCAAGGCGGCGACGGGUAGCCGGACUGAGAGGUUGGUCGGCCACAUUGGGACUGAGAUACGGCCCAGACGCCAACGGGAGGCAGCAGUGGGGAAUAUUGCACAAUGGGCGCAAGCCUGAUGCAGCGACGCCGCGUGGGGGAUGACGGCCUUCGGGUUGUAAACUCCUUUCGCCAGGGACGAAGCGUUUUGUGACGGUACCUGGAGAAGAAGCACCGGCUAACUACGUG
rnacentral:rRNA from 1 species